CGGCGAACGGGUGAGUAACGCGUGGAUAUCUACCCUGGGGUGGGGGGAUAACCCGAGGAAACUCGGGCUAAUACCGCAUGACACCGCGAGGUCAAAGAGGGCUUCGGCUCUCGCCAUGGGAUGAGUCUGCGUCCGAUUAGCUAGUUGGUGAGGUAAUGGCUCACCAAGGCAACGAUCGGUAGCCGGCCUGAGAGGGUGAUCGGCCACACUGGAACUGAGACACGGUCCAG
rnacentral:rRNA from 1 species